UGCGGUCAAGUCAUUAAGGGCACACGGUGGAUGUCUUGGCGUCGAGAGNCGAUGAAGGACGUUGGAACCUGCGAUAUGCCUCGGGGAGCCGGUAACCAGGCUUUGAUCCGAGGAUUUCCGAAUGGGGAAACCCGGCCCGUAAGGGUCACCUGUAUCUGAAUGCAUAGGAU
rnacentral:rRNA from 1 species